rnacentral:rRNA from 1 species
UGGUGAGUAACACGUGGGAAACCUGCCCAGAAGCGGGGGAUAACACCUGGAAACAGAUGCUAAUACCGCAUAACAACUUGGACCGCAUGGUCCGAGUUUGAAAGAUGGCUUCGGCUAUCACUUUUGGAUGGUCCCGCGGCGUAUUAGCUAGAUGGUGGGGUAACGGCUCACCAUGGCAAUGAUACGUAGCCGACCUGAGAGGGUAAUCGGCCACAUUGGGACUGAGACACGGCCCAAACUCCUACGGGAGGCAGCAGUAGGGAAUCUUCCACAAUGGACGAAAGUCUGAUGGAGCAACGCCGCGUGAGUGAAGAAGGGUUUCGGCUCGUAAAACUCUGUUGUUAAAGAAGAACAUAUCUGAGAGUAACUGUUCAGGUAUUGACGGUAUUUAACCAGAAAGCCACGGCUAACUACGUGCCAGCAGCCGCGGUAAUACGUAGGUGGCAAGCGUUGUCCGGAUUUAUUGGGCGUAAAGCGAGCGCAGGCGGUUUUUUAAGUCUGAUGUGAAAGCCUUCGGCUCAACCGAAGAAGUGCAUCGGAAACUGGGAAACUUGAGUGCAGAAGAGGACAGUGGAACUCCAUGUGUAGCGGUGAAAUGCGUAGAUAUAUGGAAGAACACCAGUGGCGAAGGCGGCUGUCUGGUCUGUAACUGACGCUGAGGCUCGAAAGUAUGGGUAGCAAACAGGAUUAGAUACCCUGGUAGUCCAUACCGUAAACGAUGAAUGCUAAGUGUUGGAGGGUUUCCGCCCUUCAGUGCUGCAGCUAACGCAUUAAGCAUUCCGCCUGGGGAGUACGGCCGCAAGGCUGAAACUCAAAGGAAUUGACGGGGGCCCGCACAAGCGGUGGAGCAUGUGGUUUAAUUCGAAGCUACGCGAAGAACCUUACCAGGUCUUGACAUACUAUGCAAAUCUAAGAGAUUAGACGUUCCCUUCGGGGACAUGGAUACAGGUGGUGCAUGGUUGUCGUCAGCUCGUGUCGUGAGAUGUUGGGUUAAGUCCCGCAACGAGCGCAACCCUUAUUAUCAGUUGCCAGCAUUAAGUUGGGCACUCUGGUGAGACUGCCGGUGACAAACCGGAGGAAGGUGGGGAUGACGUCAAAUCAUCAUGCCCCUUAUGACCUGGGCUACACACGUGCUACAAUGGAUGGUACAACGAGUUGCGAACUCGCGAGAGUAAGCUAAUCUCUUAAAGCCAUUCUCAGUUCGGAUUGUAGGCUGCAACUCGCCUACAUGAAGUCGGAAUCGCUAGUAAUCGCGGAUCAGCAUGCCGCGGUGAAUACGUUCCCGGGCCUUGUAC